AUUUUAUUUGGAAAUUCAAUUUUGUUUCCUUUUUUAAAAGAUAUCAAAUAUCAAAUACUCAAACACUAUUGGUUGGUGAAUCUAGGGAUGAACCCAAGAAUUUCUUUUUUUUUUUAUUUAUGAGUUCAACACCUUUUGUUAUUCUUGGUAAUAUGGAUGGUGAUGGUGGUUAGCGAAUUAAUUGUAAAAACACAUUAACUACGUUUAUAACAAACUUUUGGAAAGAAAUCAAAACUCACACAAUCUUAUCAAUACACAUUAUUAUUUUAAUACAGAAUCAUUAUUAAAUCUCAUAAUCACAGGAAAUCUUAAUCUGAAAAGGAAAGGAGUAUAAUUAAUUGUAUCAACAUUAGCAAUAUUUCUCUAUACCUUACAAACAAAAAAAAUAAAACCUAUAACAAACCUCACCUCUUUCAAAACGCAUCUUCCUCUCCCACAGCCGCAAGAAACGUACACGACCAUUUUCGCAGGUCAGUGACAGAGGUGAGAAGGGAGGGAGCCGUUGAGUUUGUUGGAGUAAAGGUCGAAGCUUUAAAACCUACUCGACCAUCUUCGCGACCAGUGACAGAGGUGAGAAGGGAGGGAGGUAAGGAUCGGCUCUGUAAGAAGCUUUGUAAGCAUAAUGGUUACGCCACUGCUCCGACCAACCCGUUCAAUCUGCAGGUAAAUAUGUUAACUUCGUUCUCACUCCUCACCAGCAUCACCCUAUCCAAUCGAAAACAAAUCCUACAUGCUUGAUGUCUAUUUUCUAAUACAAUUUUAUACUGUUGCUCUGAUUUUUAGAACAAUUAUUUGGUGCCUGUUGCUUUGGUGCCUAUUGUUAUAUAUUUAUCUCUUAUAAUACUGUUUGUGUGGUUAAUUAUAUUAUUGGUGCAAAAUUUUAUAAAAUCGUAUUUCUUAAAAAAACUUGAAAAUAUUAGCAAUUCGAUUUGACAAAUUAUUUUUUUUUGUUUAUUGUAAUUUUCUUAGAUACUAUUAAAACGUAAAAAUUAUAACCGAAUUGAUUAGUUUUAGAAUGUCAUAGAAUUUAAUAUCUCUUUCUAAUUUAUUUAAAAUAAUACAUAAAUUUAUUUUUCUAAUAUAACAAUGCAAAUUUUUAAUAUCAUUAACUGUAACAUAUUUUGUAUUUACGUUUACGAGUUAAAACUAAAUUAAAACUUAAUUACAACGUAAAUUUCUGAUAGAUACAAUAACCAAUUUUGGAAAUCUGUUUUCAAAAAAAAAAAGAUUCCAAAGAUUUCAAGAAGAUUUGUUAUUGUUUGAUUAUUAAUAUUUGUACCUUGAAUAAACUAAAAUAAAGAUAUGGUGCUAAUAUUAUAAAUCCAUUUCAUAAAAAAGUUGCUAUAUUUGAAAACAACAUUUAAACGAAAAUCUUCCAGAGAUCGAUUAUACUAACAUUAAAUGUAACAUAUAAUGAAUGCAAAUUUUUAAUAUAAUUAAAUGUAACAUAUUUAAUAUUUACGUUUACAAAUUAAAACUAAAUUAAGAUUUAAUUGCAAAGUAUAUUUCAGAUAGAUAAAAUAACCAUUUGUGGAAAAUCUGUUUUCAAAAAAAAGAUUCCAAAGAUUUCAAGAAGAUUUGUUAUUGUUUGCUUAUAAAUUAUGGUAUCUUGAAUAAACUAAAAUAAAGAUAUUACAAUAUAUUAUAAAUCCAUUUUAUAUAAAAGUUGCUAUAUUUAAAAUCACAUGCUCAUUGCAACAGCUACAUAAAAUAAAUAGAACAAUGCUAUAUAUAUUUUGAUGAAAAUUUAGUUUAAUUACUUAAUUUAAUAAACAAAAUUUUAAUAUAUUUAUCUCUUAUAAUACUGUUUGCGUGGGUAAUUAUAUUAUUGGAUGCUGAUCAUUAACGCUAUUGAUCCUGAGAGCACGACCUCCACUACGCCACAUUCAAGACAAUCCCUUCUUCCUCCGUGUUAGCUGAUCUUGACCUAUAAAUAGAGCAAGCUUUAUUGAUAUGACAUGCUCCCCAUUCUCCCAUUCGUAGAUUUUACCUUCUCAUAGAAACCAGCUACUCGCAUCAUUCAAUGGAAAACAAAACGGUGAAAUCAACCGGUAAGACCCCUAUUGUUGCUGUCGCUGCUAUAACUGUGGCCUCUUGAGAUUCUGCCAAGAUGGUUGAAUCCAAACCAACAGGUUGAAUCCUUUCGUGAAUCAUCCUUAGGUGAUGCAUUUACGUUUAAAGUACUUCUAUAUUUCAAUCCAUAAUUGGAUACGUUUAUGCUUUUGUUCACACUUCUCAGAUCAGAAAACGAAUGCACACAACCAAGAUAUGCAUUAUAAGCUAAGACUAAGCUGGUGUUGAAGAAGAAGACAGAAUCUGGAGAAAAAAUCUGAGAAAAAUAAAUCCAUCUGAAAAAAAAUUAUGAGGAAGAAAUGUAUCAGACCAAGCAAAGGGAAAGAGGAAGAAGAAGAGUGUUGGUACAAAGUUGUUUCUUUAGGAGCUUGGUUUAUCGGGAUUGAAGUUGAACAUAUUGAUGAUAGACGAUUAUGCGGCGGCCCCUAAUUACGAUAAUAUAUACUUUGAAACUAAAGCCUUGAAGUGAAGAGAUCCCUAUCUUAAAAGAGAUGUCUUGUCCUUAUGGUGAUUGAGCGUAUAAAUCAAAGGAACCAUAAACUUUUAUCCAAAUAAGAAAGAUAUGUUGAGCAAUGUUAUUGAGGUUAAAUAUGAAAA